AAAAAGGGACAACUCGAACUUACACAAACCCUCCCGUGCCGUCACUGCCUCAGAACCGCAGUUACGGAAAUAAUUACAAAAAGGGCCCCGCUUUUCCAGGUCUCCGGAGAGCACACUGGCACAGCCUCGCACGGCACGGCCGGAGCGGCGCAGCCCGGGCUGCCGGCACCGCUCCCCCGGCUCGCCGGGGCAGCCGCUCCCCGCCAACGGGACCCGGGGGCUGAGGGCGGGCGCUCCGGGAGCUGCUAUCGGCCAGGGGGUCCCGCUUACACCAAGUCCCCCGCGCUCUCCAGAGACGGCCGCACUUCCGCGGCUACGUUCACUCCGGCUUUAAAAAGUAGUCAAAGAGUGGGAGCCCAGCCCGCAGGCGGAGACUGCGGCGCUCAGCCGCGCCUGCCCCGAGCCCCCAGCCGCUGCAGGCGCCUGAGUCGGGCCCUUCGCCACCGGCGGCCCGCUUCGUCCCCCCACUCCUGGGAGGCCCUCCCCGGCCCGCGGCAGCUGCCCCGGGGGUCUGCGCGGCCCCGCUUCCAGCAGGGACCGCCCGGCGCGCCGGGGCCGGCGGGGCCCGGGAGCGGCGGCCCCGCGCCCUCGGAGCAGGAAGGAGCGCGGCAGCGGGCAGCCCGCGUAUCCCUCCGCGGCGCCGUGCGUGCGUGUGCGGCGGCAGCUCCCCGGGAAGCGCGUGAGGCAGCGCCAGGGGGAGGGAACUACUUUCAGGAAACUCGAGCGUCGGGCAGCGCCGGGCGCCGCGGGGAGGGCGGCGGCGCGAGCCCGUCCGGUGGCGGGCGCGGGUCAAGGGGAUUACUUUCCUCCCCUCGCUCUUCCCUCCUCUCCCGCCUCCCUUUCCCCCGUGGUUAUUUUGGAUCAAGCUGUGGCGGCGGAAGGAGCCUGAAGUCAACGCUUCCGCCCAGUUUUCCUGUGAGGAGGAGGCGGGGGUGGCCGCGAGGAGCCGAGGCGGCGGCAGCGGCCGCUAAUGGAGUUGUUGCCGGGGAGGAAGCGCCGCCGCUGAACUUCCCCGCGGGCUUUCUCCCUCCUCUCCCCCUCAUCCUGCAGCCGAGAGCUCCUCUCUCGCCCUGGGAGCUCGGUUCCCCCUCCCUCCCCGCGCCUCUCCUCACACAAACAGCCGUGACGCAUCCUCGCUCUCCGCCGUCCCCCCCCUUCCCACCCCCAGGCUGGUUUAAAACGCCUCCCUCCCCCCGUCGCCAGCCUUCUCCUUCGGGCCGGCGCGUCCUCCCUCCGCAGUGCUCGACGUCGCUUUGGAGGGGGUGGGAGAUCUUCAUCGAGCCUCUCUGCCCCCCUUUUCCCCGUCCCUCCCCGCCUGCCCCGGCCUGUGGCGGCACCGGUGUCUGGAGGAAUUUCUGCUGCCGCCUGCCCCGGCUGUGCGCGGGAGGCGGGCGGGCAGGGAGGGAGGCGGCCGAGCAGCAGCAGCAGCAGGAGGAGGAGGAGAAGAAGGAGGAGGAGGAGGAGGAGGAGGAGGAGGGCAGCAGCGAAGGCGGCUGCAGCGGGAGAUGA
rnacentral:lncRNA from 1 species